GGGGUUGUAGCUCAGUGGUAGAGCACUUGCCUAGCAUGUGUGAGGCACUGGGUUCAAAUUUCAGCACCUCA
rnacentral:tRNA from 1 species